UACGUAGGGCGCAAGCGUUAUCCGGAAUUAUUGGGCGUAAAGAGCUCGUAGGCGGUGUAUCGAGUCAGCGGUGAAAGUCCGGGGCUCAACUCCGGAUCUGCGGUGGGUACGGGCAGACUAGAGUGAUGUAGGGGAGACUGGAAUUCCUGGUGUAGCGGUGAAAUGCGCAGAUAUCAGGAGGAACACCGAUGGCGAAGGCAGGUCUCUGGGCAUUAACUGACGCUGAGGCGCGAAAGCAUGGGGAGCGAACAGG
rnacentral:rRNA from 1 species